rnacentral:rRNA from 1 species
AACGUAGGUACCGAGCGUUAUCCGGAUUUACUGGGCGUAAAGCGCGUUCAGGCGGUUUGGCAAGUCGGGCAUGAAAUCUCUCGGCUCAACCGGGAGAGGUUGUCCGAUACUGCUGGACUUGAGGGCAGUAGAGGGUGGUGGAAUUCCGGGUGUAGUGGUGAAAUGCGUAGAUAUCCGGAGGAACACCAGUGGCGAAAGCGGCCACCUGGACCAGUACCGACGUCAGGCACGAAAGCGUGGGGAGCAAACAGG